CACUCCUACGGGAGGCAGCAGUGGGGAAUUUUGGACAAUGGGCGAAAGCCUGAUCCAGCAAUGCCGCGUGUGUGAAGAAGGCCUUCGGGUUGUAAAGCACUUUUGUCCGGAAAGAAAUCCUUGGCUCUAAUACAGUCGGGGGAUGACGGUACCGGAAGAAUAAGCACCGGCUAACUACGUGCCAGCAGCCGCGGUAAUACGUAGGGUGCGAGCGUUAAUCGGAAUUACUGGGCGUAAAGCGUGCGCAGGCGGUUUGCUAAGACCGAUGUGAAAUCCCCGGGCUCAACCUGGGAACUGCAUUGGUGACUGGCAGGCUAGAGUAUGGCAGAGGGGGGUAGAAUUCCACGUGUAGCAGUGAAAUGCGUAGAGAUGUGGAGGAAUACCGAUGGCGAAGGCAGCCCCCUGGGCCAAUACUGACGCUCAUGCACGAAAGCGUGGGGAGCAAACAGGAUUAGAAACCCUGGUAGUCCCA
rnacentral:rRNA from 1 species